GAGUAUAGGCUGGUAGAGGUGAGAAGGGGAAGAGUAUAGGCUGGUAGAGGUGAGAAGGGGAAGAGUAUAGGCUGAGUAGAGGUGAGAAGAGGGGAUGAGUAUAGGCUAGUAGAGGUGAGAAGGAGAUGAGAAUAGGCUGGUAGAGAUUGGAAAGGGGAUGAGUAUAGGUUGGUAGAGGUGAAGAGGGGAUGAGUAUAGGCUGGUAGAGGUGAGAGAAGGGGAUGAGUAUAGGCUGGUAGAGGUGAGAAAGGAUGAUGGUAUAGGCUGGUGAGGUGAGAAGGGGAAGAGUAUAGGCUGGUGGGGUGA